GACGAACCGUGCAAACGUUGUUCGGAAUCACUGGGCUUAAAGGGCGCGUAGGCGGGUUCCCAAGUCGGUGGUGAAAUCUUUCGGCCCAACCGGAAAAGUGCCGCCGAUACUGGGGAGUCUCGAGGGAGGUAGGGGUCGAUGGAACUUCCGGUGGAGCGGUGAAAUGCGUGAGAUAUCGGAAGGAACGCCGGUGGCGAAAGCGAUCGACUGGACCUCUUCUGACGCUGAGGGCGCGAAAAGCCAGGGGGAGCCAAACGGG
rnacentral:rRNA from 1 species